rnacentral:rRNA from 1 species
UGCAGUCGNNCGCGAACGGGAUUUCGGUCCUUAUUAGAGUGGCGGACGGGUGAGUAACACGUGGGAAUAUGCCUAUUGGUAAGGAACAACCAUUGGAAACGAUGGCUAAUACCUUAUACGCCCUAAGGGGGAAAGAUUUAUCGCCAAUAGAUUAGCCCGCGCUAGAUUAGCUAGUUGGUGAGGUAAAAGCUCACCAAGGCGACGAUCUAUAUCUGGUUUGAGAGGAUGAUCAGACACACUGGGACUGAGACACGGCCCAGACUCCUACGGGAGGCAGCAGUGGGGAAUAUUGGACAAUGGGGGCAACCCUGAUCCAGCGAUGCCGCGUGAGUGAUGAAGGCCUUAGGGUUGUAAAACUCUUUCAGCGGGGAUGAUAAUGACAGUACCCGCAGAAGAAGCUCCGGCUAACUCCGUGCCAGCAGCCGCGGUAAUACGGAGGGAGCUAGCAUUGUUCGGAAUUACUGGGCGUAAAGCGCGCGUAGGCGGCUUGGAAAGUUGGAGGUGAAAGCCCAGAGCUCAACUCUGGAACUGCCUCCAAAACUCCCGAGCUAGAAUAUCAGAGAGGUGAGUAGAAUUCCUAGUGUAGAGGUGAAAUUCGUAGAUAUUAGGAAGANUACCAGUGGCGAANGCGGCUCACUGGCUGAUUAUUGACGCUGANGUGCGAAAGCGUGGGGAGCGAACAGGANUAGAUACCCUGGUAGUCCACGCCGUAAACGAUGGGUGCUAGGUGUUANGUAGCUUGCUACUUAGUGCCGUANCUAACGCGUUAAGCACCCCGNNNGGGGAGUACGNUCGCAAGAUUAAAACUCAAAGGANNUGANGGGGCCCGCACAAGCGGUGGANCAUGUNNUUAAUUC